rnacentral:rRNA from 1 species
UAGGGAAUCUUCCACAAUGGACGCAAGUCUGAUGGAGCAACGCCGCGUGAGUUGAAGAAGGUCUUCGGAUCGUAAAACUCUGUUGUUAGAGAAGAACACGAGUGAGAGUAACUGUUCAUUCGAUGACGGUAUCUAACCAGCAAGUCACGGCUAACUACGUGCUAG